UCCCUAGUGGCUCAGCUGGUAAAGAACCCACUUGUAAUGUGGGAGACCUGGGUUCAAUCCCUGGGUUGGGAA
rnacentral:tRNA from 1 species